rnacentral:rRNA from 1 species
AUUGAACGCUGGCGGCAUGCCUUACACAUGCAAGUCGAACGGCAGCGGACCUUCGGGUGCCGGCGAGUGGCGAACGGGUGAGUAAAGUAUCGGAACGUACCUUUCAGUGGGGGAUAACAUAGCGAAAGUUACGCUAAUACCGCAUAUUCUGUGAGCAGGAAAGCAGGGGAUCGCAAGACCUUGCGCUGAUUGAGCGGCCGAUAUCAGAUUAGCUAGUUGGUGAGGUAAAGGCUCACCAAGGCGACGAUCUGUAGCGGGUCUGAGAGGAUGAUCCGCCACACUGUAACUGAUACACGGGCCAGACUCCUACGGGAGGCAGCAGAGUGGAAUUUUUGACAAUGGGGGCAACCCUGAUCCAGCCAUGCCGCUUGAGUGAAGAAGGCCUUCGUGUUGUAAAGCUCUUUCGUCCGGGAAGAAAUCGCAUCAGCUAAUACCUGGUGUGGAUGACGGUACCGGAAUAAGAAGCACCGGCUAACUACGUGCCAGCCGCCGCUGUAACAC